AACGCACGAGACCUGCGGACCUGCGGAGGGAUCAUUAAUCUAUUCUCUCGGGGGGCCGGCCUGGACUGCAGACAUUCCUCGUGGAUGACUGUUUUCCUGCCUGCCCUGUCUGAUUAUACCCUUGAACUUUUGCGUACCAAUUGUUUCCUCGGCGGGCUUGCCCGCCAGCAGGACACCCUAAAACCUUUUGCAAUUGCAGUCAGCGUCAGAAAAAUAUAAUAGUUACAACUUUCAGCAAUG
rnacentral:misc_RNA from 1 species